rnacentral:rRNA from 1 species
UACGGAGGGCGCGAGCGUUACUCGGAAUUACUGGGCGUAGAGCGCGCGUAGGCUGUUGUGUAAGUUGGGGGUGAAAUCCCACGGCUCAACCGUGGAACAGCCCUUGAUACUGCGCGACUUGAAUCCGGGAGAGGGUGGCGGAAUUCCAGGUGUAGGAGUGAAAUCCGUAGAUAUCUGGAGGAACAUCAGUGGCGAAGGCGGCCACCUGGACCGGUAUUGACGCUGAGGCGCGAAAGCGUGGGGAGCAAACAGG